rnacentral:rRNA from 1 species
GACGAACGCUGGCGGCGUGCUUAACACAUGCAAGUCGAACGGAAAGGCCCUGCUUUUGUGGGGUGCUCGAGUGGCGAACGGGUGAGUAACACGUGAGUAACCUGCCCUUGACUUUGGGAUAACUUCAGGAAACUGGGGCUAAUACCGGAUAGGAGCUCCUGCUGCAUGGUGGGGGUUGGAAAGUUUCGGCGGUUGGGGAUGGACUCGCGGCUUAUCAGCUUGUUGGUGGGGUAGUGGCUUACCAAGGCUUUGACGGGUAGCCGGCCUGAGAGGGUGACCGGGCACAAUGGGACUGAGAUAGGGCCCAGACUGCUACGGGAGGCAGCAGUGGGGAAUAUUGCACAAUGGGCGGAAGCCUGAUGCAGCAACGCCGGGUGCGGGAUGACGGCCUUCGGGUUGUAAACCGCGUUAGCCUGUGACGAAGCGUGAGUGACGGUAAUGGGUAAAGAAGCACCGGCUAACUACGUG